rnacentral:rRNA from 1 species
UACGAAGGGUGCAAACGUUGCUCGGAAUCAUUGGGCGUAAAGCGCACGUAGGCGGCGAUCUAAGUCGGAUGUGAAAUCCCUCGGCUCAACCGAGGACGUGCAUCCGAAACUGGAUUGCUCGAGUAUGGAAGAGGGUCGCGGAAUUCUCGGUGUAGAGGCGAAAUUCGUAGAUAUCGGGAGGAACACCAGUGGCGAAGGCGGCGACCUGGGCCAAUACUGACGCUGAGGUGCGAAAGCGUGGGGAGCAAACAGG